rnacentral:rRNA from 1 species
AAAUUGAAGAGUUUGAUCAUGGCUCAGAUUGAACGCUGGCGGCAGGCUUAACACAUGCAAGUCGAACGGUAGCAGGAAGGAAGCUUGCUUUCUUUGCUGACGAGUGGCGGACGGGUGAGUAAUGCUUGGGGAUCUGGCUUAUGGAGGGGGAUAACGACGGGAAACUGUCGCUAAUACCGCGUAAUGUCUAAGGACUAGAGGGUGGGACUUUCGGGCCACCUGCCAUAAGAUGAGCCCAAGUGGGAUUAGGUAGUUGGUGGGGUAAAGGCCUACCAAGCCGACGAUCUCUAGCUGGUCUGAGAGGAUGACCAGCCACACUGGAACUGAGACACGGUCCAGACUCCUACGGGAGGCAGCAGUGGGGAAUAUUGCACAAUGGGGGGAACCCUGAUGCAGCCAUGCCGCGUGAAUGAAGAAGGCCUUCGGGUUGUAAAGUUCUUUCGGUGAUGAGGAAGGGUGAUGUUUUAAUAGAGCAUUACAUUGACGUUAGUCACAGAAGAAGCACCGGCUAACUCCGUGCCAGCAGCCGCGGUAAUACGGAGGGUGCGAGCGUUAAUCGGAAUGACUGGGCGUAAAGGGCACGCAGGCGGUGACUUAAGUGAGAUGUGAAAGCCCCGAGCUUAACUUGGGAAUUGCAUUUCAUACUGGGUUGCUAGAGUAUUUUAGGGAGGGGUAGAAUUCCACGUGUAGCGGUGAAAUGCGUAGAGAUGUGGAGGAAUACCGAAGGCGAAGGCAGCCCCUUGGGAAAAUACUGACGCUCAUGUGCGAAAGCGUGGGGAGCAAACAGGAUUAGAUACCCUGGUAGUCCACGCUGUAAACGCUGUCGAUUUGGGGAUUGGGCUUUAUGUUUGGUGCCCGUAGCUAACGUGAUAAAUCGACCGCCUGGGGAGUACGGCCGCAAGGUUAAAACUCAAAUGAAUUGACGGGGGCCCGCACAAGCGGUGGAGCAUGUGGUUUAAUUCGAUGCAACGCGAAGAACCU